AUUGCACGCUGGCGGCAGGCCUAACACAUGCAAGUCGAACGAGUGGCGGACGGGUGAGUAAUGUCUGGGAACCUGCCUGAUGGAGGGGGAUAACUACUGGAAACGGUAGCUAAUACCGCAUACCAUCGGAUGUGCACAGAUGGGAUUAGCUAGUGGGUGGGGUAACGGCUCACCAAGGCGACGAUCCCUAGCUGGUCUGAGAGGAUGCACGGCCACACUGGAACUUAGACACGGUCCAGACUCCUACGGGAGGCAGCAGUGGGGAAUAUUGCACAAUGGGCGCAAGCCUGAUGCAGCCAUGCCGCGUGUAUGAAGAAGGCCUUCGGGUUGUAAAGUACUGUCAGCGGGGAGGCGUUACCCACAGAAGAAGCACCGGCUAACUCCGUGCCAGCCGCCGCGGUAAUAC
rnacentral:rRNA from 1 species